rnacentral:rRNA from 1 species
GACGAACGCUGGCGGCGUGCUUAACACAUGCAAGUCGAACGGAAAGGCCCUGCUUUUGUGGGGUGCUCGAGUGGCGAACGGGUGAGUAACACGUGUGUAACCUGCCCUUGACUUUGGGAUAACUUCAGGAAACUGGGGCUAAUACCGGAUAGGAGCUCCUGCUGCAUGGUGGGGGUUGGAAAGUUUCGGCGGUUGGGGAUGGACUCGCGGCUUAUCAGCUUGUUGGUGGGGUAGUGGCUUACCAAGGCUUUGACGGGUAGCCGGCCUGAGAGGGUGACCGGCCACAUUGGGACUGAGAUACGGCCCAGACUCCUACGGGAGGCAGCAGUGGGGAAUAUUGCACAAUGGGCGGAAGCCUGAUGCAGCAACGCCGCGUGCGGGAUGACGGCCUUCGGGUUGUAAACCGCUUUCGCCUGUGACGAAGCGUGAGUGGCGGUAAUGGGUAAAGAAGCACCGGCUAACUACGUG